rnacentral:tRNA from 3 species
GCGUUUUUAGUUUAAUGGAUAAAACAUCAAUCUUCUAAAUUGAGUAUUGUAGGUUCGAAUCCUUCAAAGCGCA